rnacentral:rRNA from 1 species
ACUUUUAAAUUGAAGAGUUUGAUCAUGGCUCAGAUUGAACGCUGGCGGCAGGCCUAACACAUGCAAGUCGAACGGUAACAGGAAGCAGCUUGCUGCUUCGCUGACGAGUGGCGGACGGGUGAGUAAUGUCUGGGAAACUGCCUGAUGGAGGGGGAUAACUACUGGAAACGGUGGCUAAUACCGCAUAACGUCGCAAGACCAAAGAGGGGGACCUUCGGGCCUCUUGCCAUCAGAUGUGCCCAGAUGGGAUUAGCUAGUUGGUGAGGUAACGGCUCACCAAGGCGACGAUCCCUAGCUGGUCUGAGAGGAUGACCAGCCACACUGGAACUGAGACACGGUCCAGACUCCUACGGGAGGCAGCAGUGGGGAAUAUUGCACAAUGGGCGCAAGCCUGAUGCAGCCAUGCCGCGUGUAUGAAGAAGGCCUUCGGGUUGUAAAGUACUUUCAGCGGGGAGGAAGGUGUUGUGGUUAAUAACCACAGCAAUUGACGUUACCCGCAGAAGAAGCACCGGCUAACUCCGUGCCAGCAGCCGCGGUAAUACGGAGGGUGCAAGCGUUAAUCGGAAUUACUGGGCGUAAAGCGCACGCAGGCGGUCUGUCAAGUCGGAUGUGAAAUCCCCGGGCUCAACCUGGGAACUGCAUUCGAAACUGGCAGGCUUGAGUCUUGUAGAGGGGGGUAGAAUUCCAGGUGUAGCGGUGAAAUGCGUAGAGAUCUGGAGGAAUACCGGUGGCGAAGGCGGCCCCCUGGACAAAGACUGACGCUCAGGUGCGAAAGCGUGGGGAGCAAACAGGAUUAGAUACCCUGGUAGUCCACGCCGUAAACGAUGUCUACUUGGAGGUUGUGCCCUUGAGGCGUGGCUUCCGGAGCUAACGCGUUAAGUAGACCGCCUGGGGAGUACGGCCGCAAGGUUAAAACUCAAAUGAAUUGACGGGGGCCCGCACAAGCGGUGGAGCAUGUGGUUUAAUUCGAUGCAACGCGAAGAACCUUACCUGGUCUUGACAUCCACAGAACUUUCCAGAGAUGGAUUGGUGCCUUCGGGAACUGUGAGACAGGUGCUGCAUGGCUGUCGUCAGCUCGUGUUGUGAAAUGUUGGGUUAAGUCCCGCAACGAGCGCAACCCUUAUCCUUUGUUGCCAGCGGUUAGGCCGGGAACUCAAAGGAGACUGCCAGUGAUAAACUGGAGGAAGGUGGGGAUGACGUCAAGUCAUCAUGGCCCUUACGACCAGGGCUACACACGUGCUACAAUGGCGCAUACAAAGAGAAGCGACCUCGCGAGAGCAAGCGGACCUCAUAAAGUGCGUCGUAGUCCGGAUUGGAGUCUGCAACUCGACUCCAUGAAGUCGGAAUCGCUAGUAAUCGUGGAUCAGAAUGCCACGGUGAAUACGUUCCCGGGCCUUGUACACACCGCCCGUCACACCAUGGGAGUGGGUUGCAAAAGAAGUAGGUAGCUUAACCUUCGGGAGGGCGCUUACCACUUUGUGAUUCAUGACUGGGGUGAAGUCGUAACAAGGUAACCGUAGGGGAACCUGCGGUUGGAUCACCUCCUUACCUUAAAGA